GGGAGCACAGUACGAUGAAAGUUGUAAGCUGUGUUCAGGGGGCGAGUUAUUGUCUAUCGCUGGCUUCUAUGGUAGAACCCGUCGGGAAGGCCUGAGAGGCGGUGGUUUACCCUGU
rnacentral:ncRNA from 1 species